CAGAGCCCAGGCUCCAGACCGCGCGGACCAUGCAGUCGCUGCGCCCCGGCGGGGGGCCCCAGGGGGGGCCGCGGGGGACCCGCCGGAGGCAAGCACCUCUACGUCGUACCACCGUAUCUUCUGUACCUUCCAAACA
rnacentral:misc_RNA from 1 species